rnacentral:sRNA from 1 species
GAAGUGAUGCUUCGUAAAUAAAUUUCUGGAAAGGCAUCCAAAUAACAGACCAUACCGUGCGAGACUCAUCGCACAGAAAAGGCGACCCAUUGGCAGGCCGCCUUUUUUAUUGCU